rnacentral:rRNA from 1 species
CGCAGCGAAUUGCGAUAAUUGGUGUGAAUUGCAGGACACAUCGAACGCCCAGUUUUCGAACGCACAUUGCGGCCCCGGUUGACCGUCCCGGGGCCUCGCCCGUCUGAGGGUCCUUUCACCAUCGGAGGAGGCCCCGUGCCUUCAGUGGGCCGGUGUCGGGAGCGCGAGCGCUCCCGUCGGCCGUAGAUAUCCGUGCCAGGUGUCCGCCCCGAGGAGACGAGUCUCCGUAGAAGGGGGGAGACGGGCACCCCCGACCGAGGGGAAGCUCUCCGGAAGACCUCAGAACGGACGAGGCGACCCGCCGAACUUAAGCAUAUC